rnacentral:rRNA from 1 species
UACGGAGGGGGCUAGCGUUGUUCGGAAUUACUGGGCGUAAAGGGUGCGUAGGCGGGUCUUUAAGUCAGGGGUGAAAUCCUGGAGCUCAACUCCGGAAUUGCCUUUAAGACUGCAUCGCUAGAAUUGUGGAGAGGUAAGUGGAAUUCCGAGUGUAGAGGUGAAAUUCGUAGAUAUUCGGAAGAACACCAGUGGCGAAGGCGACUUACUGGACACAUAUUGACGCUGAGGUGCGAAAGCGUGGGGAGCAAACAGG